CUGCCAAUGAUGACGUGACCACUGCGCAAUCUGAGUUCUGGGAACCAGGUGAUGAAGUGUGCUGCGACACUGAGGCCA